rnacentral:rRNA from 1 species
GACGAACGCUGGCGGCGUGCUUAACACAUGCAAGUCGAACGGAAAGGCCCUGCUUUUGUGGGGUGCUCGAGUGGCGAACGGGUGAGUAGCACGUGAGUAACCUGCCCUUGACUUUGGGAUAACUUCAGGAAACUGGGGCUAAUACCGGAUAGGAGCUCCUGCUGCAUGGUGGGGGUUGGAAAGUUUCGGCGGUUGGGGAUGGACUCGCGGCUUAUCAGCUUGUUGGUGGGGUAGUGGCUUACCAAGGCUUUGACGGGUAGCCGGCCUGAGAGGGUGACCGGCCACAUUGGGACUGAGAUACGGCACAGACUCCUACGGGAGGCAGCAGUGGGGAAUAUUGCACAAUGGGCGGAAGCCUGAUGCAGCAACGCCGCGUGCGGGAUGACGGCCUUCGGGUUGUAAACCGCUUUCGCCUGUGACGAAGCGUGAGUGACGGUAAUGGGUAAAGAGGCACCGGCUAACUACG